AUCUUGGGAGGGAGUUUUUCUUUUUUACUUGAAAAACUUCUUUUACAGAUUUUUGAAAGGAAAAAAAAAAAAAAAAUUAGAAAGGCAAAAAGUCAUGUCCAAAGGAGCCCUUAUUGGUUUCCCCUUGUCCUCUUUGUUUUUGUUUCUCACUCUCCCUGCUCAUCUAUCCAUUUAUUCCAUGGGUUUACUGGGCUUUAGGUCUCACUUGAAGCAAAAUAAGCGGUGGUACGCUGGACUUUGUUUUAUAGCGGCCACCCUCGUCGUAGCUCCUAAAUCACACUCACUAUAAUUUCAUGAGUAGGUGAUGAUGAUAAUAUGGUUGUGCAUAAAUGUACUUCACUUGUCCACUUUCUCGCUAGCAAUUCUUCCUCUAUUGGGAGACCUGUUGUAAGAUUUCUUGGUUAUUCACUUUAUUCUACUGCUAAUCAAGUUGGCAAAGUAAAACUAGCUCAGGACCUAGCUGGUUUGGUUCAAGAAUCUUUGAACCUGGAGGAGAAAAAUUCUCAAGUAUCUAAGAAAUUUGUGUCCACGGUUGAGAAGUCAAUAAAUGUUAAGGUCAGUGAGGAUAAGAAAAACGGAGUGUCGUUGGCACAGAACUUAGCCAACUUGGUGGAAGAGUCUUAUAAUCUUGAUGAGACUAAACCUUUGAGUCGGGUGGAACAUAAAAGACUACUUGAACUACGCAUAAAAAAAAGAGUUAAGGAACAUCAUGUAAAUGGAAAGUUUCGGAACCUCAUAAAGGAAGUGGUUGCCAAUCCAAAAACACUCCGUGAUGCUUUUGAUUGUAUUCGAUUGAGUUCUAAUGUUGAUCUAGCGUCGGAAGAUGGUGAGAAUUUGCCUUUUGAAGCCAUGGCUGAAGAGCUUUAUUGUGGGUAUUUUGAUGUAAGUGCUAACACAUAUUCGAUCUCAACAAGGGGCCGAAAGAAAGAAGUCCUCGUCUUUCCAAAUGUUAAACUCAAAGUUGUUGAGGAAGCAAUCAGAAUAGUAUUAGAAGUUGUCUAUCGACCUCACUUUUCUAAGAUAUCACAUGGCUGUCGCAGCGGAAGGAGCCAUUUAUCUGCUCUUAAGUACGUUCGCAAAGAUAUAGUUAAUCCGAAUUGGUGGUUCACUUUGCCAGUUUGCAAAAAGCUCGACAAUCAAAUCCUAGCUAAGCUCUUCUCAACUAUGCAAGACAAGAUAGAUGAUCCUUUCCUAUAUUCUAUAAUAUGUAGUAUGUCUAACACUGGGGUAUUGAAUUUAGAAUUCGGGGGUUUUCCAAAAGGACAUGGUCUCCCACAAGAAGGAACAUUGUCUCCAAUUUUAAUGAACAUAUAUCUUGAUCUAUUUGACCGUGAAAUGUACAGGCUUUCAAUGAGAUACGAAGUUAUUGAUAAAGGUUCAAGCACUGAAGAAAGUGGGCCCCACUCUGUGCUACGCAGUUGGUUUAGGAAACAGAUAUCUGGUAAUGGUUCUCAAGAAUGCCAUGAUGAAAUUAGGGUACAUUGUUGCCGCUUCAUGGAUGAGAUCCUUAUUGCCAUCUCGGGUCCCAAAGAAGUGGCUGUUGCUAUCAAGUCCGAAACUGAAAAUUACUUUAAGAAUUCUCUUCAUUUAGAAUUUGAAAAUGAAACCGAUGUUUUUCCAUGCGAUGGACCUACUGGAAUUCGCUUUUUGGGUAGUGUAGUUAAAAGAAGCCUGAAAGAGAGUCCAGCUGUAAAGGCUGUUCACAAAUUGAAGGAAAAGGUAAAAUUAUUUGCUUCACAGAAGGAGCACUCGUGGGACACCGGGACAGCAAGAAUUGGCAAGAAAUGGUUGGGUCAUGGGCUGAAGAAGGUAAAAGAAUCAGAGAUUAAGCAUCUCUCUGAUGGUAGCUCCCUUUUAAGCCAAAUUUCGUGUUUUAGAAAAGAUGGGAUGGAAACGGAUCAUUGGUACAAAGUCUUACUAAAAGUUUGGAUGCAAAAUAAAAAUGUUAAAUACGAAACUAAUGAGGAUGUUAUCUUAUCUAAGCAUAUUGUCGAACCAGCUCUGCCUCAAGAUCUAAGAGAUUCGUACUAUGAGUUCCAGAAGCGUGUUCAGGAAUAUAUAACUUCUGAGACAGCUUCGACUCUUGCACUGUUGCCAAACUCCAACUCCUCGUCAUUAGUGACGCAGAUCAUAGCUCCAAUCAGCAUCAUAAAGAAGCGACUUUUUCGAUAUGGAUUGACAAAUUCCGAAGGAUAUCCCCGGCCAUGUCAUCUGCUAGUCUUUUGGGAUGACAAUGAAAUAGUUGACUGGUAUGCAGGUUUAAUCUGCCGAUGGCUUAGAUGGUACACUGAGUGUGACAACUUUAAUGAGGUAAAACUCAUUAUUUGCAAUCAAGUAAGGUUGUCUUGCAUCAGAACUCUCGCAAUGAAGUAUAGGAUAUAUGAGACUGAGAUAGAGAAGAAGUUUGAUUUUGAAUUACGUAGAAUUCCUGCAACUGAAGAUAUGGAGCUUGACAUAAUAACCAAUGAAACAACAAAUCCCGAAGGUGUUGAUAAUGAUGCCUUAAUGUAUGGAAUAACAUACAGUGGAAUAUGUUUAUUCUCUUUAGCAAGAAUGGUGAGUCAGUCACGUCCUUGUAAUUGCUUCGUUAUAGGAUGCUCAGCUGCAGCUCCUCGUGUGUACACUCUUCACGUGAUGGAAAGACAAAGAUUCCCUGGUUGGAAGACUGGAUUUUCUAGCUGUAUCCAUCCCAGUUUACGUAGAAGGCGACUUGGGUUGUGUAAACAUCAUCUGAAGGAUGUACUUCUCGGUAACAUUUCGCUUCAAUCUAUUAAUUUCGGUGCUUGGAAAGGAGACAACCUCCCUUGAUGUAAAGUGGCAAAUUUUCUGUCGCGUGACUGCUCAAUAGUUGGAGGAGUAGAUGGAUUGGAGAAGACAGAAAGACGGAGAAACCAUGUAAUCUUUUUGAAGUAAUCCAUCAUUAUUACGGGAGUCUUUAAUGUUAUAUGACUUCAGAAAUGUCCAAAUCACGAUCUUCAAAUUUGGCUAUGGCAAAGCAUGCUAAAACCUCAAAGUUCCAUGAAAGUUGUAUGUUCUGAUACUGAAAAACACAGUUCAAAGAAACUACUGUGAAGUAUGUUUGCAAAUGGACCAUGUUAUGCCGGGAAAAAAAGAGCACAAUUUUCUUCGUUGGAUUGGAAUUUGAAAGAAAAUUAACUACACUAUUAGUUCUCUACAUCAUCGAGUUAUUAGGCCAAAAGGAGGUAUUCACAAGCAACUUCAGUGGUUGCCUGUUUCUCUCCACAAAAGGUUAGAAAAUGUCGGAAAGUUGAUUUAUGGAGAUUCACUUCCAACUCAAAUAGCAGUCAGAGGACAGAAGU